UGGGGAAUAUUGCACAAUGGGGGGAAACCCUGAUGCAGCGACGCCGCGUGAGUGAAGAAGUACCUCGGUAUGUAAAGCUCUGUCAGCAGGGAAGAAAGAAAUGACGGUACCUGACCAAGAAGCACCGGCUAAAUACGUGCC
rnacentral:rRNA from 1 species